AGUUUCCGUAGGUGAACCUGCGGAAGGAUCAUUG
rnacentral:rRNA from 1 species